GAUGAACGCUAGCGGCAGGCCUAAUACAUGCAAGUCGAACGGUGUCUUCGGACAUAGUGGCGCACGGGUGCGUAACACGUAUGCAACCUACCUUACAUUGGGGGAUAGCCUUUCGAAAGGGAGAUUAAUACCGCAUAAGACAGUAGCUGGGCAUCCAGCAGCUGUUAAAGAUUUAUCGAUGUAAGCUGGGCAUGCGUCCAAUUAGCUAGUUGGUGAGGUAACGGCUCACCAAGGCAAUGAUUGGUAGGGGAACUGAGAGGUCAAUCCCCCACACUGGCACUGAGAUACGGGCCAGACUCCUACGGGAGGCAGCAGUAGGGAAUAUUGGGCAAUGGACGCAAGUCUGACCCAGCCAUGCCGCGUGCAGGAUGAAGGCGCUAUGCGUUGUAAACUGCUUUUAUACAGGAAGAAACGACUCUUGCGAGAGGCAUUGACGGUACUGUAUGAAUAAGCACCGGCCAACUCCGUGCCAGCCGCCGCGGUAAUAC
rnacentral:rRNA from 1 species